rnacentral:rRNA from 1 species
UACGAGGGGUGCAAACGUUGUCCGGAAUUACUGGGCGUAAAGAGCGCGUAGGCGGUUUGAUAAGUUUCCUAUGAAAGACCGAGGCUCAACCUCGGAAUUGUGGGAAAUACUGUCAAACUCGAGUCUGGCAGGGGCUGGCGGAACACUCGGUGUAGGGGUGACAUCCGUUGAUAUCGAGUGGAACACCAACGGCGAAGGCAGCUAGCUAGGCCAGUACUGACGCUGAGGCGCGAAAGCGUGGGUAGCGAUCGGG